AUACUUUCCAGACAGUCCUUGUAUGUAUGUAUGUAUGUAUGUAUAUGUGUGUGUGUGUGUGUUUAUAUAUUUAUAUAUAUAUAUAUAUAUACAUACAUACAUACAUACAAGGACUGUCCAGAAAGUAU